rnacentral:tRNA from 2 species
GGCCCCGUAGUGUAGCGGUUAACACGUCGCCCUGUCACGGCGAAGAUCGGCGGUUCGAAUCCGCUCGGGGUCGCCA